GGCCUGGUCCACCGUUCCCCGUUCCCGGGCGGCCUGGAGGAACUCCCACCCUCUACCUGGCUGCAUCUGGGACUCAUUGGUGCCGUCACGACAGUUUGUUUAUGUGUAAUUUCUGGCUGAGACUUGAAAGUCGAACUACCGCUCCGUUCUCUAAACAGCCACUACUGUUAUACAAAAAGCAGGCCAUCCCUGGCUUGGAUGUCGGACUGAAAUAUCUCCUCCUGGCACCCCUCGUGAGGGGAAUCAAAGGGCUUGUUUACUCCCAAGUGGAAACCACGAAGCUCAGGCUCCCAUGGGGCCGGCUGGUCAUGCAGAGAAGCUCGAGGGUCCACAGGUUGGCCAAAUGGGAAGACUGACUUUAUUUCCACUCUCCUCCUGAGAGUGAUGACGCAGCCCCACGAGCCAGGGAUGCUGUGAUCGGAUGAGAGAUGGACUUCAGCCUCUGCGGUGACCCCCGGAAGAGGAAGCAACUGGACAUUUCCUCUGCACAUUGUCUUUUGCAAAGAUACAAGUGGUGCUCGCCUUGGCAGGAAGGUGGACUGAAACAGCAGCCUCCGGGGUGAUGAACUGUUCUUGCCGCAGGUAGCAGCGAUGCCUACAGAC
ensembl:lncRNA